rnacentral:tRNA from 4 species
GGCCGGUUAGUCAAGCGGUUAAGACGCUGCGUUCUCAGCGCAGAGAGCAUGGGUUCGAAUCCCAUACCGGUCACCA